CCUACGGGAGACAGCAGUGGGGAAUAUUGGGCAAUGGAGGAAACUCUGACCCAGCAAUGCCGCGUGAAUGAAGAAGGUCUUCGGAUUGUAAAGUUCUUUAGUCAGGGAAGAAGUCAAUGACGGUACCUGAAGAAUAAGCUCCGGCUAACUACGUGCCAGCAGCCGCGGGAAUACGUAGGGAGCAAGCGUUGUUCGGGAUGACUGGGCGUAAAGGGUGCGUAGGCGGUUUUACAAGUUAGAAGUGAAAUACCCCGGGCUUAACUCGGGUGCUGCUUCUAAAACUGUAUGGCUUGAGUGCAGUAGAGGUGAGUGGAAUUCCAGGGGGAGCGGUGAAAUGCGUAGAUAUUUGGAGGAACACCAGGGGCGAAGGCGGCUAACUGGACUGCAACGGACGCUGAGGUACGAAAGUGUGGGGAGCAAACAGGAUUAGAUACCCGAGUAGUC
rnacentral:rRNA from 1 species